GAUGAACGCUGGCGGCGUGCCUAAUACAUGCCAGUCGAGCGAACAGACGAGGAGCUUGCUCCUCUGACGUUAGCGGCGGACGGGUGAGUAACACGUGGAUAACCUACCUAUAAGACUGGGAUAACUUCGGGAAACCGGAGCUAAUACCGGAUAAUAUAUUGAACCGCAUGGUUCAAUAGUGAAAGACGGUUUUGCUGUCACUUAUAGAUGGAUCCGCGCCGCAUUAGCUAGUUGGUAAGGUAACGGCUUACCAAGGCGACGAUGCGUAGCCGACCUGAGAGGGGGAUCGGCCACACUGGAACUGAGACACGGUCCAGACUCCUACGGGAGGCAGCAGUAGGGAAUCUUCCGCAAUGGGCGAAAGCCUGACGGAGCAACGCCGCGUGAGUGAUGAAGGUCUUCGGAUCGGAAAACUCUGUUAUUAGGGAAGAACAAAUGUGUAAGUAACUAUGCACGUCUUGACGGUACCUAAUCAGAAAGCCACGGCUAACUACGUG
rnacentral:rRNA from 1 species